AACGCACAUUGCGCCUUUCGGUUUUUCCGGAAGGCAUGCCUGUCCGAGCGUCAGAAAAGCUCAAUUAAACCCCGCAAGGUUGUGAUCAAACUAAAGUCAGCUUUGCAGUGAGCGGGUUUGCUCUUGAGGGAAGAGAGAGAUCCACUUUUUCCUCUAUAGGUAUUUUUGGGUCGCUCUCCCCCUUGAAUUCUAUUGGUGGACACAGAAAAUUUUCCUCUCCUGGGUGAAGAUGGUAGUAGUAAAUGGAAAAAAAAUGAAAAAUUUUGGAUUUUUUUUUUUUUUUUCUUCUCACUGCUUCCUCAGGACCCUUGUGGUUUAAUUUGAGGUUUUGAUGUCUCCUGCCACAAACUUUAGAUCUAUAAAGUGACUUGACCUCGGAUCAGGUAGGGAUACCCGCUGAACUUAA
rnacentral:misc_RNA from 1 species